rnacentral:lncRNA from 1 species
UAUGAGAUGAUUAGCUUAUUGCAUGCAGAAGGUCGGGAUAAAAAAAUAUUUCAUAUAAAUUAGAUUUUGAAAAAGCCUUCGACACCAUUAUCUUGGACUUCUUACUUGACUUGCUUAAAGGCCAUGGCUGCCUAAAAAGGUGGAUUGGUUGGAUAAGGAGCCUUCUCUCUUCGGCAUCAGUGGCUCUUAUUAUUAAUGGCAAGUCUGGAAGAU